rnacentral:tmRNA from 1 species
GGGGGCGUAAUGGGUUCGACGGGGGUAGUUGAGGUACAAGGAGCAUGCCGAGGUCUGCUCCCUCGUAAAACAGGCAGAAAAAAAAUAAGUGCCGACGAUUAUUCUUACGCACUGGCUGCCUAGAGCAGCCGCGUCCUGCUGAGGCCCGCUCAUCGGCAUCAGUCACGGGCGUCAAACAAAGAUGAGCACACCCGGCAGUUUUCGCCUCUUGGGCUGACGGGUUACACAAAGAGGCCGGGGCAUGGAAAGCCUGUCUGUGGGCCGACCGUGUCUGGGACUCAAAUACACAGACUACGCAUGUAGCCGCCUUGUGCUGAAGGCCUUCGGACGGGGGUUCGAUUCCCCCCGCCUCCACCA